UAGCUCAGCGGUAGAGCACUUGCCUAGCGAGCAAAAGGCCCUGGGUUCGGUCCCCAG
rnacentral:tRNA from 1 species